rnacentral:tRNA from 1 species
UUAAUUGAAGCCAAAAUAAGCGGCAUCUCACUGUUAAUGGGAUUUAGAAAUCAUUUUUCCAAUUAAG